rnacentral:rRNA from 1 species
AUUGAACGCUGGCGGCAUGCCUUACACAUGCAAGUCGAACGGCAGCAUGAUCUAGCUUGCUAGAUUGAUGGCGAGUGGCGAACGGGUGAGUAAUACAUCGGAACGUGCCCUGUAGUGGGGGAUAACUAGUCGAAAGAUUAGCUAAUACCGCAUACGACCUGAGGGUGAAAGUGGGGGACCGCAAGGCCUCAUGCUAUAGGAGCGGCCGAUGUCUGAUUAGCUAGUUGGUGGGGUAAAGGCCCACCAAGGCGACGAUCAGUAGCUGGUCUGAGAGGACGAUCAGCCACACUGGGACUGAGACACGGCCCAGACUCCUACGGGAGGCAGCAGUGGGGAAUUUUGGACAAUGGGCGAAAGCCUGAUCCAGCAAUGCCGCGUGUGUGAAGAAGGCCUUCGGGUUGUAAAGCACUUUUGUCCGGAAAGAAAUGGCUCUGGUUAAUACCUGGGGUCGAUGACGGUACCGGAAGAAUAAGGACCGGCUAACUACGUGCCAGCAGCCGCGGUAAUACGUAGGGUCCAAGCGUUAAUCGGAAUUACUGGGCGUAAAGCGUGCGCAGGCGGUUGUGCAAGACCGAUGUGAAAUCCCCGAGCUUAACUUGGGAAUUGCAUUGGUGACUGCACGGCUAGAGUGUGUCAGAGGGGGGUAGAAUUCCACGUGUAGCAGUGAAAUGCGUAGAGAUGUGGAGGAAUACCGAUGGCGAAGGCAGCCCCCUGGGAUAACACUGACGCUCAUGCACGAAAGCGUGGGGAGCAAACAGG